GGCUCUGCUAAUGCAGCACUAGUGUUAUCUGGUUUGAGUAUAUCCUUUAAUAUCAUAUUGAUAUUAAUAUUGAUUGCUGUUAUUUCCUAUCAUUGCAAGAAAUCAGUGAUUAAUAAUAACAUACCACCACCAGUACCAGCUGCUACUACUCAGGCUAAUAAUAUGAUGUAUGAUAGGAAUGUGAGCUAUGAACUACACACAGUAACAAAUGAGACUGAGGAGUAUGAUUAUAUUUGAUUCAUUGCUCAAGUUAAUACUUACAGCUGCCAAUCAGAUAUUAUUAGCUAAUGGCUACUUAAUUUGAUCUUUUACUUUUUAUAAUGCACCUUCUUUUGUUUCCUUUUACUGUACAUAGACGGUCAUUAAUAAUGUACUUCAUUGACAGAUGUAAGAUUGUAUAAGCUAGCUAAUUACACUGAUGUAGUUUACCGGUAUUUUCACUUGA